UAAGUCAACCGUACCACCCUGAAUGUGCCUGAUGUCCUGUGAUCUCAGAAGCUGAGCAUGUUUGGGCCUGGUUAGCAGUUGGUUUGG
rnacentral:rRNA from 1 species